AGUGAACGCUGGCGGUAGGCCUAACACAUGCAAGUCGAACGGCAGCACAGUAAGAGCUUGCUCUUACGGGUGGCGAGUGGCGGACGGGUGAGGAAUACAUCGGAAUCUACUUUUUCGUGGGGGAUAACGUAGGGAAACUUACGCUAAUACCGAAUACGACCUACGGGUGAAAGCAGGGGAUCUUCGGACCUUGCGCGACUGAAUGAGCCGAUGUCGGAUUAGCUAGUUGGCGGGGUAAAGGCCCACCAAGGCGACGAUCCGUAGCUGGUCUGAGAGGAUGAUCAGCCACACUGGAACUGAGACACGGUCCAGACUCCUACGGGAGGCAGCAGUGGGGAAUAUUGGACAAUGGGCGCAAGCCUGAUCCAGCCAUACCGCGUGAGUGAAGAAGGCCUUCGGGUUGUAAAGCCCUUUUGUUGGGAAAGAAAAGCAGCAGGUUAAUACCCCGCUGUUCUGACGGUACCCAAAGAAUAAGCACCGGCUAACUUCGUG
rnacentral:rRNA from 1 species